CUGAAAUAAUGUCUAAUUUGGUCGUCUGCGUAAAAAGAACGUAAACAUUCCGUAGGAAAAACGUCAGUAAACAUUUUUGUAUAUAAGAAGAUAAUUCGUUCACUAGGUUAGAAGUGCGGAUUAUUUCGAUGGUGAAAGUCGGAACUUACUAGUCUGGCGAACAGUAUGAGGAAAAAGACAAGGGAUAGUGACAUAAAAAGCAAGCCACACGAGAAAAUACCAAUGUCAGGGAAAAUCCGGGUCAGUUCUGCAUAAAGAAUGAGAAAGAGUUUGACCUAAAUCAUAACUGAAUACCCUAUGUAUAUUUCUAUGUCUUGAUCUGGUUUUGAAAACUCAAAGAAUGCGUUAUGAACAAGCGAAUAGCAACCGUUAUGAAAACUCGUUUGGAUAGUUUCCAAUUCUGCACUUUUUGUGCAAAACGUUUGCCAACCGUAUUUUUAACGUUGUUAAAACGUUGUCAGAGCUAUAAGUGGAAACGCUUUACAAACCCCAGUUCCAUUCAGUUUAGCAGACGAUGUCCACACGUUUGGGUGACGUUUUCUUCUUUGCCGUCAUGUGACUGAAAUAAAGCUCUUAGGAGUACAAAGAAGUAACAGACAGUCUGAAGAUGGAGUUUCCUGAUUCAGUUUAUGGAAUGCAUGGCAAUGAGUACUGCUUUGUUUCGUUUUGAGCUUACUGAUAGAUGAUAGAUUAUAUAUGCAUCUACUGAUCUUUUAAGAGACGAGGGUAACAUAAUAGUAACAUACAUUGAAAGCAAAAUUUUAAAAAAGUUACAAUUUGGCAUCCAGCAUGAUAAUUGAGAGGUGUCUGAAUGAAGGACAGGUAAUUUAUAUAAAAAAAAGUGCUCCUCGACGUGAGGUUCGAGUGAAUACUGCUACGAAGAAAUAGUCUUAAGUUACUAUUUGCAUACUUUCCAAAAUGUGUAAUCGUUUUAACUUUACAGUUUAAAACACUUAUAAAAGAAGUUGAUGCACCGCUACUGUGGGUUUACGCCGGAUUGCAUCACAAAAGCUUGUUAUCCGGAGACAUUUUACGAUUUUGAAUGACAAAAGUGGUGUACUUCUCAAAGGAUAAAAUUGUUGAAGCGGUCCUGAAUUGAAAAUAAAACUCACAACGAAUGAAUAUCUCCUAGGACAUCAUAGUUUAAUCAGUUCUAAAAUGGCCGCCGUCAUAACGAAAGGGGCACUAUGGCAUUUAUGAUGUAACGGUAAUAGUAGUUUUGAAGAAUGUAUCAUUGGAGACGGUUCUAAAAUGACCGCCGUCAUAAGUAAAGGGACGCUAGGGAAUUUAUGACGUAACGAUAAUAGAAGUUUUGAAGAAAGUAUCUUCGGAGAUAUAAUAGUUUAAAAGGUUCUAAAAUGACCGCCGUCAUAAGAAAAGGGGUACUCAGGAAUUUAUGACGUAACGAUAAAAGGACUAGGACCUUGCUGUAUAGGAAAAGGAGAUUUUCGUUCACUGGUCUUCGGUCCGGAUUUCUUUUCCCGUCUAGAUUAGGGAUGCUGAUAUGCUGGCUGUUUAUAAAGCAUUUCCUUUAUACAGCAUUUCGCAAGAAAACCGAUUCGUCUGGUCAUGUGCAAUUUAUGUCGAAAUAGCAGCUUUUAUGCUUUCGUUUGUGAUUUAAUUUGUAAUCGUUUGUAGGUUUGUAAUGUACGCUGUAAAGCAAUAUUGAACGUCUAAAAGCAAUAUUGAACGUGUAUGUAACUAUGUAUUCAUGAAUGUGAGUGCUAUAUAAAUGUGGUAUGAUAAUAAAAUGAUAAAGAUCGUCAGAGCAGCGGACUUGCCAAUUCUCUUUCAACAGUCUGGAAAAUCUAAACGUAAUAAAGCAUGGUGCAAGGAGUCAUGAAGUCAAAAGCAUUACGGAUCGGGAUUGAUUUUUGAUUUGACCAUAUUUUAUUGCUUAUAUAUACAUGCAAAUAGAUAAAUAAAACUACAGCAAUACAAAAGCAAAUGGGUUGAGCAACAAGUUCUAUCAACAUUACUUUAAGCCCUUCCCAGAAGGAUCGUGAUUCUAUACUCUGAAAUACCGAAAAUAUCCGGAAACAUGAUGAAAUGAUGGUAAAUGUCGUGGACACUGUUCAGAAGAAAACAAUAUCUUAAGGACCAGAUAGUUGAAUAAUGUCUGAACGAUGGAAAAUGGCUGAAGACAGUAUAUGUCGAAUGACGUAAUUGUUGGAUAUUCUCUGAGUAAUGGUGUAGUCCGAGUAAAACAGUUAAAAAGGUGUUCAUGAUGAUAAAGUCGUAUUUACAGUAUCUCCCGAGAGACUGAAUGCUGACAAUGUUCUGAAUAAUGGGAAAAGUUUUGAAUGCAGUUCCUCGUCGGAAUAUAAUAUUUAACAGGGUGUUUUAUUAUAACAGUCGAUCUUGAAGAACGUGAUAGUUUACAAGGAAACGCGUUUGAAUGAUCGAUAAAGUCGUUAUUAUUGUACGGGAAGUAGUUAUAACUAUCAUAUACAAAGGAUUGUUUCGGGGUUGGCACAGUUGUGGUUGAAAAGUGUGGAUAACCGAAAAGGCAUAAAACAGUUGAAACGUCUGAAAAUGUCUAAUAGACAAUACUGAUGUAGUUGAGAAUUUCAGACGGUUCUAAAUGGCGUAUAAUCUGAAAGACAGUACUCCUUAGGGAAUGUAGCUGGAAAGGUCUGAUAGGAUACCAGCAGUCGUGAUGUUAAUAUCUCUGAAAAGACAUGUGUACAUGUGUUCUGUUCGGUGGCGCUUUCAUACUGACGCACUUAAGUAGUGACCUAACUCUCUAUGUAUAGAACGCUGAAAAGACAGAAGUCGGCCGAUGGUCUAGUGGUAACACGAUUGACUGCCAAUCCAGAGGUCCGGGGUUCAAAUCCCGAUCCAGACACUGGAAAUUUCUGAGAUACUCUUGAUGUCUCCCACUUAACUAAGAGGCCUGUACUGGUUCUUCCCAGGAAAGAUGGCUUCGCAUGUAUCGGUGCUGUACACCGGGUACGUUAAAGAACCAGACUGUCUAUUCGCAAAGAGCAAGGCUAAGUUAGCCGGACAGGCCUGUAUCUAAAAACAUUUCUCUCUGUCUGUUCUGGGGGCUUUAUCUCACUCUGUCCCUCAGGUCAGAUUGUUCUGUGUCUGUACUAGUAGAGGAUGAAUCUCGCGCCCUGUGUGGCUGCGUUUGCUAUAUGUAAAGCGCCUUUGAACGGGUUAUCAUGAAAAGAGCGCUAUAUAAAUCUUGUAUAAUAAUAAUAAUAAUAAUAAGUUUUUGGUGGACCUGUCACUUAAAAUGGUUCUGAAUAAUGGUAAAUGCGGCUGUGCUUUAUAAACAAAAAUCCAGAAGAUAAUACAGGACGAAUUCCAAUCGAGUAUAUCGUAAUUGAGUUCUGUAACUAUUCAGACGAAGCUGUGAAACUAGUUAAAUUUGGACAUUGAUCUCAAAUUUAAUGAAAGUGAAGUCCUUCCUUAGUAACAAAAAUACUCUGGUCAAAUUUCCAAAUUAAACAAGCAAAUUCAGUGAAUUUAUAUCCCCGCCGAAUAAGUUACUUGGUGGACCUGAUGAGGAGAAUAUAUAGGGAAGAUAUCUCCAGAUAUUCACCAGUUAUGUACAUGAGUAGUAUUAGCGUCUCAUUAGCCCCAGCUGUGCGCAUGCUCGAGAAUGCAGCUGGAAUUUUGAAUUCCAGUUUUAGAAUGACAUCACCUUUCUAUGUUAAGAAUGACUUCACAAUGUAAUAAAUAUAAACCAAAAUUGGUAAACUUUA